UGCUGGAGGUAUCAGAAGUGCGAAUGCUGACAUAAGUAACGAUAAAGCGGGUGAAAAGCCCGCUCGCCGGAAGACCAAGGGUUCCUGUCCAACGUUAAUCGGGGCAGGGUGAGUCGACCCCUAAGGCGAGGCCGAAAGGCGUAGUCGAUGGGAAACGGGUUAAUAUUCCCGUACUUGGUGUUACUGCGAAGGGGGGACGGAGAAGGCUAUGUUGGCCGGGCGACGGUUGUCCCGGUUUAAGCGUGUAGGUGUGUGUUCCAGGUAAAUCCGGUUCACUUUAACACUGAGGCGUGACGACGAGGCACUACGGUGCUGAAGCAACAAAUGCCCUGCUUCCAGGAAAAGCCUCUAAGCAUCAGGUAACAUCAAAUCGUACCCCAAACCGACACAGGUGGUCAGGUAGAGAAUACCAAGGCGCUUGAGAGAACUCGGGUGAAGGAACUAGGCAAAAUGGUGCCGUAACUUCGGGAGAAGGCACGCUGACACGUAGGUGAAGUGAUUUACUCAUGGAGCUGAAGUCAGUCGAAGAUACCAGCUGGCUGCAACUGUUUAUUAAAAACACAGCACUGUGCAAACACGAAAGUGGACGUAUACGGUGUGACGCCUGCCCGGUGCCGGAAGGUUAAUUGAUGGGGUCAGCGCAAGCGAAGCUCCUGAUCGAAGCCCCGGUAAACGGCGGCCGUAACUAUAACGGUCCUAAGGUAGCGAAAUUCCUUGUCGGGUAAGUUCCGACCUGCACGAAUGGCGUAAUGAUGGCCAGGCUGUCUCCACCCGAGACUCAGUGAAAUUGAACUCGCUGUGAAGAUGCAGUGUACCCGCGGCAAGACGGAAAGACCCCGUGAACCUUUACUAUAGCUUGACACUGAACAUUGAGCCUUGAUGUGUAGGAUAGGUGGGAGGCUUUGAAGUGUGGACGCCAGUCUGCAUGGAGCCGACCUUGAAAUACCACCCUUUAAUGUUUGAUGUUCUAACGUGGACCCGUUACCCGGGUUGCGGACAGUGUCUGGUGGGUAGUUUGACUGGGGCGGUCUCCUCCUAAAGAGUAACGGAGGAGCACGAAGGUUGGCUAAUCCUGGUCGGACAUCAGGAGGUUAGUGCAAUGGCAUAAGCCAGCUUGACUGCGAGCGUGACGGCGCGAGCAGGUGCGAAAGCAGGUCAUAGUGAUCCGGUGGUUCUGAAUGGAAGGGCCAUCGCUCAACGGAUAAAAGGUACUCCGGGGAUAACAGGCUGAUACCGCCCAAGAGUUCAUAUCGACGGCGGUGUUUGGCACCUCGAUGUCGGCUCAUCACAUCCUGGGGCUGAAGUAGGUCCCAAGGGUAUGGCUGUUCGCCAUUUAAAGUGGUACGCGAGCUGGGUUUAGAACGUCGUGAGACAGUUCGGUCCCUAUCUGCCGUGGGCGCUGGAGAACUGAGGGGGGCUGCUCCUAGUACGAGAGGACCGGAGUGGACGCAUCACUGGUGUUCGGGUUGUCAUGCCAAUGGCACUGCCCGGUAGCUAAAUGCGGAAGAGAUAAGUGCUGAAAGCAUCUAAGCACGAAACUUGCCCCGAGAUGAGUUCUCCCUGAGACUUAGAGUCUCCUGAAGGAACGUUGAAGACGACGACGUUGAUAGGCCGGGUGUGUAAGCGCAGCGAUGCGUUGAGCUAACCGGUACUAAUGAACCGUGAGGCUUAACCUUA
rnacentral:rRNA from 5 species